rnacentral:rRNA from 1 species
CGCUGAACUUAAGCAUAUCACUAAGCGGAGGAAAAGAAACUAACCAGGAUUCCCUUAGUAACGGCGAGUGAACAGGGAUCAACCCACCACCGAAGCCUA